AUGGGAGCCUGAGCUUUCCCACAGUGCCAGCUGGUCUGCAGGGAAGUGAAGAAGAAAUCUCUGCAUCCUGAGCUGGACCUGAUCCCAGGGCAUGUUGACCUCUGAACGGAGCCAAAUGUGAGGACAGAUGUUUAUGAGAAGAUGUUCUUUAUGACCUGCAAAAUUGUUUCUGUCUUUCUGGGCUGAAUGCAGAGAGAGAGACAGACAGAGAGAGA